GGGGUCGACAUGGAUUUGACAGCAGGAUGAUGUGUUGCGUAAGCAUGCAGAGAGUUGUUGGCCGCUCUCUAUAAUCAAUGACUGACAAAGUUUAACUGGCGAAAACAAUUACGCUCUCGCUGCUUAAUCGAAGUACAGUAGAUUCGGCUUAAUUCCGACCCAAGGGGUUGGAACGGGAUGUCUCUCCAAGCACUCUUGCUCCGAAGCGCUUGGGUACAGAGGCACUGGAAACUCGGAGAUAGCCUUGGGCAGCCUCGUGCCUGUGGCGAAAAUUUAGAGGAUAAGGCGUCGGUUGGUGGUUCGGGUCUUGCCGCCGCACGAAAACGAAGUCCGGAAUAAGCAUGUAGAAAGCGCAGGAUGUCCCUGUAUGGACGAGGGUUCAAUCCCCUCCGGCUCCACAU
rnacentral:tmRNA from 1 species